AAGGCUUGGAAAGUACGUUAAUGAUGCAGCUAUAGACAACCCCAUCUUAUGCAUGUUAUGAGAAGUUAAAAGUGUUUAACAACUACUCCAGGCUUUUUCUUUGCAAGAAGGGAUAUUGAUAGAGGGAAGGAGAUCAGAUAUGACUAUGGUGAUCCCAUGCCCAAUGGACAAUCUUCCUUGGAGUUCAUCACUCAUCAGGAAGCAUUUUGGAGGCAAACCCUGUUGCAGCAUUUCUACAUGUUCCACAGAUUGUACAGACUAGUCAGGACCUUGUAAAUUCACAUGUUCAACAGCUUAGGCAAUUUAGUACAUGUAUGUGUAACUCUUCUGAAAUAUAGGAGGAAAUUUCAAUACAAGACUUGUAGCAUAACUUAUAUUACAUUGUCAGUUCUUCUUUGCAUGUUCCUUAGAGUGGAUUAUUGAGGCAGACCCUGAUGGAAAACUUGCACAUGUUCCACAAACCAGUGAAGACCAUUUUGCAGAAUAUAAACUUUUUCCGCAGAUAAGCCAAGACCCUAAUGGUGUUCAUGUGUGUGUGGUUAAUUAUUUGCUCUGAAGCUGAUAUGUGGACUGAAUAUAAAACUGUCUUUUUCUACAGUUAAGUCCAUCUUAAUCUGAAAAUACUACCGGUACAUUUUGAAUUAUGCUUUAUUAUGCAGAAAAAAAAAAUAAUUAGUUUCAAAUAUGAAAAGUCUGUUGAUACACUGCGUUGCAAUUCCAAAAGUGAUAAUGUGAUAAGUUUUGAUGUGAAUAUGUGACAUGUGCCAUUAUCAAUUUUCAUAAAUAAAAUCAAAUACAAAGGCCA